UAAACCUGCCCUCAUGAGGGGGGAGUAACUAUUAGAAAUGAUAGCUAAGACCGCAUAGGUGAAGGGGUCGGCAUGACCGCUUCAUUAGAUAUCCGUAUGGAUAGCAGGAGGAUGGACUUAUGGCGCAUUAGCUGGUUGGUGAGGUAACGGCUCACCAAGGCGACGAUGCGUAGCCGACCUGAGAGGGUGGACGGCCACACUGGGACUGAGACACGGCCCAG
rnacentral:rRNA from 1 species